rnacentral:rRNA from 1 species
GACGAACGCUGGCGGCGUGCCUAAUACAUGCAAGUUGAGCGCUGAAGGUUGGUACUUGUACCGACUGGAUGAGCAGCGAACGGGUGAGUAACGCGUGGGGAAUCUGCCUUUGAGCGGGGGACAACAUUUGGAAACGAAUGCUAAUACCGCAUAAAAACUUUAAACACAAGUUUUAAGUUUGAAAGAUGCAAUUGCAUCACUCAAAGAUGAUCCCGCGUUGUAUUAGCUAGUUGGUGAGGUAAAGGCUCACCAAGGCGAUGAUACAUAGCCGACCGGAGAGGGUGCUCUGCCACAUUGGGACUGAGACGCGGCCCAAACGCCUACGGGAGGCAGCAGUAGGAAACCUUCGGCAAUGAACGAAGGUCUGACCGAGAAACGCCGCGUGAGUGAAGAAGGUUUUCGGAUCGUAAAACUCUGUUGGUAGAGAAGAACGUUGGUGAGAGUGGAAAGCUCAUCAAGUGACGGUAACUACCCAGAAAGGGACGGCUAACUACGUGCCAGCCGCCGCCGUAA